CGCAGCCUCGCUCUGGGGCUUGAGCCUGCGCGCUCGUUUCCCGCUCGCCCCGCGCGCCCCGCGCGCCCCGAGCCCCGCGCGCCCCACGCAUCCCGCGCGUCCCCGACCCCGCGCGCGCCUCCCGCAUCCCGCGACCCCGACGCCCGCUCCCCUGUCCGCAGUGUCUCCUCCCGCGGACAUGGCCCUGGUGUUUGCGGCGAGCGCCCGCCAGGGGCCAUGAUCCGGCUGCGCGGCUGGUGCGCGCGGAGGCCCCGCGGCGCAGCGGUGCCUGCGGGGCCCGCUGGGCUGCGCUGGGCGUCGGGCCGGCCUGCCGGCCGCGCCCUGCGGGUGCUGGUGGACAUGGACGGCGUGCUGGCCGACUUCGAGGGCGGCUUCCUCAGGAAGUUCCGCGCGCGCUUCCCCGACCAGCCCUUCAUCGCGCUGGAGGACCGGCGCGGCUUCUGGGUGUCGGAGCAGUACGACCGCCUGCAGCCCGGGCUGAGCGAGAAGGCCAUCAGCAUCUGGGAGUCGGAGAAUUUCUUCUUUGACCUCGAGCCUCUGCCAGGCGCUGUGGAGGCUGUGAAACAGAUGGCCAACCUGGAGAGCACGGACGUCUUCAUCUGCACCAGCCCCAUCAAGAUGUACAAGUACUGUCCCUUCGAGAAGAAAACACACACGGUCAGCCAACGAUCGGCGCCUCCUGCACUUCACACGGAAGGGAUGCGCCCUCACUGGGGGGUUGUGGGCGCUGGCCUCCACUGUGUGCCUCGUGCUCAGGACGCCCCUCAACCUGCCAGGACCGUGAGUGCAGCUCACCGCGGGGGGCAAGUGACUCAGCUUGGUCAGCACGGGUGGGCUUGGGCCUGGAGGCAUGUCCAGUCCCCAGCAGAGCAAUGAACUGGAGGCUCAGCAUCCCCUGCACCCUGGCUAGAAGUGGGCAUCGUCUGGCCUCUCGCGAGACCCCCAGCAGAAACUCUGGGAGUAGCCAGUGUGUUUCCACAAGCCCCUAGCCUCAACCCAGCACUCCCCUCUGAGCUCCAGUUGGCUCCGACCUGCCGUGUCUGUCCCCGGGGUACUGACGUCCUUGUCCCACGUCCGCCCCUACCUCCGAGGCUGGAAGCACCACCCUUCUUACCCCUCUGUACCUCAGCAAGCCUGCUUCCUGCUGAUGCUGUUUCUCAAGCACACCUCUGUCUACAUGGCCAUCUGGGGAGAAAUGCUGACAUAGCCUCCGGAGCUGCCUGUGCAUUUCAGCUCCACACGCACACCCCCGGGGGUGCGGGACAUGUCCCGCCGGCCCUACUUUAAAGCCUUUAGUUGUCUCUGCAGCAGCUGUGUCACCAAAUGCUGCUCUUCCCUGAGGCCAUGGAAAGACCUCCUCCCUCGAAAGUCUAGUAACUCUUUUGCUGCAUGUGGUUCGGAUUCGGUUUGGGUCGUCUUGACAGAUUCUGGUUCGGGAAUAACACCACCACUUUACCUCGGAUGGCUCUGUGUUCGCCAGGCCGAACUGUUGCCUGCCCAAGUGUCUUCAGGGACCAGAGUUACGACUGGGUGGAAAACGAGCCACCUUCCCUCCCCAGCCCCGCCCCCCCAGCGGUGCCCUCGGACCCCGGCCCCCACCCUGGCCGAGCCCGGGAGUCAGACGAGAGCUCUGGGUCUCAGACCCCCCACCCAGCCUCUCAGGGCCUCUGUCUCAUAACCAGUGCAGUUGUGAUGAUGCCUCCCUGGGUUGUAGGAAGGAUGCAGAAGGCGGCAUUCACCACCUUGCAAGCAGUAAACGUCACCCCUGUGUCUUCUCUUUGGGCCAGAGACCCCCACCCAGCACAAAAGAAAGAACCUCAGUGCGCUUUUCUCAAACUAGAAAGCCUGGGCAGUUUCACGGUUGACUUAUGUUUUCUGCAUUCUUGGAUCCUGGAAAAAUAAGUUAGGUGCAAAGUUGCCUAUACAGUUUAAUUAAAAACUACAUUUUGAAAGGUGGUAAAUUUUUAUUAAAAAAGGGAAGGAAGGAAA